CGUCCCUGAAAGAAACACAUGUUAGCUGGAAAAAAAUUGUUAUUUGUGCAGCCAAACACCUUGCACCAGGGUAUCUCUUCUCUUGAACUACGUAAAGAAAACGAAUGUUUGAGGAGUAGUAACCCAUAAAGAAGUAAACUACUAAAUACAAACUAAAUGUAACUAAUUACGGAAGUGGAAAUAUAGACGUUUGGAAAUCAUAAUGCAUAAUUAAUUUAACAACUCUUCAACACUGACCUUUGAAAGAAAAGCAUG